GGUUUGAGCUAGGGUUUUGAAAUGUUCAGUCGUACCCUAACCAGCUAACUUCUACUGCCUUUGACGACGAUGCUCCACUCGACCAUCCGCCGCCAUGCUCUUCUUACCUUGCCCCAAUUCCACCGCAUUUUCUUCGCCACCUCCACUUCCUCCCCCCUGUCAGGCGGCAGCACCUCUUCUCGUGAUUCUCACUUCAUGGUCGAGUACCUCGUGAACUCGUGCGGAUUCUCCGUGGAGGAGGCGUCGAAGGCCUCCAAGCGCCUCGCGCAUCUCCGAUCGACCGAGAAUCCCGACGCUGUUCUUUCCUUCUUCAGAUCUCAAGGCAUUGAUGGUGCUAAUCUCAGGAAGAUAAUAUCCAUCAGACCGUCAUUCCUCUGCUGGAAUGUGGAAUCAAACCUCACCCCGAAGUUUCAAUUUUUACGUGACCUGGGGUUUUCAGAAUCCGACCUCGUUGCUUUCAUCAUGAAAAACCCCUCUAUCAUGACCCUCAACGUCCAGCGUAUUCUUCUCCCCAGAUUGAAUAUAUGGGAAAAUCUCUUUGGAUCAAGGGAGCUGCUGCUCAAGAAUCUUAGGAAGCGGUGUUGGUUUGUGAACAGCAAGUGUGAGAAGGUGGUACGUCCUAACCUGAACUUCUUACGGGAUGAGUGUGAUAUUCCUCUCGAAAGGGCAUCACUUGUCCUCAAAAAACAUCCAACUUUCAUUGUACAAAACCCAAACUCAUUACGGGCUUUGGUAGAUAGAGCGGAGGGAAUGGGAUUUACUAGGAGAUCUCGAAUUUUCCUCUGGAUCCUUGACAUUCUGUUUAGGACCAGCAGGGAAAAAGUUGACGCUCACUCCAAGCUCAUGAGCAGCUUUGGGUGGUCGAACUUGGAGUUCUGUACUGCGAUCGAAAAACAACCAGGCUUCUUAAAUCUUUCCACAGAUAUCUUACGGUUAAAGAUGGAAUUUUUGAUCAAGGACAUUGGGUUCACCCCAUCAGGCAUUGCUAAACGGUCGAGGCUUUUAAUAUUCAGUUUGAAAAAGAGGACGAUUCCUAGGUUUCAGGUCAUGAAGAUAUUAAAAUCAGAAGGGUUGUGGACUUCAAACGACAAGCAACAUAUGUUUUUCACAAUGCCAGACCCAAAAUUUCUGGAGAAGUAUAUUCUUCCUUACAAAGAUAAAUUCCCUAAACUUCUUGAGAUCUCGUGUGCUGUAGCUGAAUGAUGGUUGGAUAAUUGAAACUGCAAAAGCGAACAAGGAUGUUGAACUAAUCUUGUAGUUUUUUUGUAGAAGGGAUUAUCUUAGAAAAUGGAGGAUUGGGCUCUGUGCAAAUUAUUCCAGCAAUUGAAGGUGCAGUAAAUAGUCAUGUUCUUGAUUGAUGAAAGUUGAAUUUUGUAUUCCCCAGAGCUUGGUGUGUGAUCAUUUCCCAAGAUGCCUGAGGCACCGUUUUAUGUACAUGUGGGGCAUGAAAUUUUUCACAAGCUUUUCUCAUUGAUAACAAGCUUUAUGGAAGGCGUUUCUUGUUCUUAGAAGGCAUCAAAAGGGUCGUGGACCGAUUAGAUCAAACCACAUUUGGGCUCAAAUCUAGGGCUAAAUAAGUCGAUCAAGUCUUGGAGCGAUUGAGAUCGUUCAUUGAAGAUAGGAGAGAUCUGAGCCAUCCAUCAAGGAUCUGGUCCAUCCAACCUAAUGAGGAGCAAAUUUUGUCCGUUGAUGAAGAUCCAGAUCCAAGACGUUCUAGCCAUUGAUCAAAACCUGAAUUAAUCUGGACCGUUGAUCAGAUUGGGAGAGGUUUAAAAUCGGAGAAGCUACAAUGGCUUCGACGAGCUCGGCGUUUUCGUGAUUUCGGCACUGUUCCUUCUCCUUCUUCAACGACGCCGAAGCCUCCCAUUCUACUUCCAGAUCUAAAAACCUAAUCUCUUCAUCUCCGGUGAGAUUACAAUGAUCCCACGACCAGCAAUCCAAGGGCAGAGCGCGAAUUGAGGGCAUUCCCUGUUUGUGGUCUUGAUUCCAGCGAGCGCAUCCAAGCCAAGAUUUGAGGGUGUUCCCCGAUCUUGUGCUGCCAUCAUCCAACGGAGGUGUCAGAGAGCAUUCCCCAGCAUUUCCGAUUUCACUCAAUCAUCGAUUUCACCUUGCGAUUCUAGAAUAUCCUCUAUUUCUCGGCGGCUGGUGAAUUCAGAGGGUUCUGAGCCAGUUAGGGCAUUCCCAGUAGUUUUUGACUUUUCCUGAAUGAGCUGCGAGUUCAGAUUUUCAUUGCUGAGUGCUCGAAGAGCGUUUCCAGAAGCAAUUCAGUGACACGGCAGAGAGGAGAGGUUCAGUUGCAGAUUUUGGAUUGUGGAGUGUUAUUAGUUAGUUUUUUUUAUCUGUCAUUCCUUUGCUCAGAUAUGAAGAUCUGAUAGAUAGAUUGCACUUUAUUCUUUGUUUUGCAUUGCCUACUUCAGUUUUUGAUUGAGUUUCUUAUGCAAUUCCAUUUUUGAUGUUCUCACUUGCAAUUCUGAUUUUGUUGAAUUUCUGCAAUCCAAUCCUUUUUACAACUACUUAAUUAGUUUGUAAUUUAGAUUCUGAUUUGAAUUAGAAGUUAUGAUUAACACAAGUUUGUUUAGUUUUGGUUAUUUAGUUAGUUAAUUUUUGUUCUCUGCAUUGGAUUUAUGGUAACUGACAUGGAGUUUCAACGUUGAAUGCUUACUUGAGCUUUCGAUUGUUACCUAAAUUGUAUGUUAAUGAUCAAGUGUGAGAUUGGAUAAUUUGUUAGUUAAAGAACUUGAGUCAAUGAUGAUAGAGUGAUGCUAAUUUGAUGAGGUGGAGUUGAAUCAUGUUUAGAUGAUGAUGACUUUUCUUCGAUUCAAUUCUUGAAUUAAUUAGAUGAAAACAAGUUGUAAAGUGAAUUAAAUGGAAAAGCUUAAUUGACCUUGUUGAUGUAAUAAUUCGAUUUGAAUCAAUUCUAGAAUUAACACACACUUUUUACUAGUUAUCCUUGGAAAAAUACGACUUGAGACUCGUUGCUACAACACUUUUCUUUAGUUUAGUUGAGUUUCCAAUCUUUAUUAAUUUGGAGCGUCUAGUGACAUGCAAAACGGCGAUUAUCAAAUUUUAGUGCCGUUACUGGGGACUACAUAACUAGUAGUAUGUGUGUAUUUUAGAUUGUGCAUUGAUUGAUUUAUUUUGUUAGCAUCUUUAUUGAUUUGAUUACUUAUCUUUUGUGUUUUCAUGUUGAAUUAUUUCUAAAUUGUCAAGUUCUUUAAUGUUCAUAUAUUCAUUGUGUUUGAAACUUUAUGCUCUUGAGUCUUCUAAUUUUGAGUUUAGUGUUGUAGUGUAAGAACAGGAGAUUUCAGUAGCAUGGAUCCAUAUUUUCAAAAAUUUGGAGGAGGAAUGGAGAAUCAGUAUUUUCAGCCUGAGUAUCAAUUUUACCCAAUCAUGGAUCAACAAAAUAGGUAUGAGUCAUUUUCUAAUGCUUAUAAUGCUAAUUGGGUGGAUCAUUCAUGUUUUAGGUAUGAAAGUACACAAGGACAAUUUAUUGAGCCAUAUCCAGCCUACCAGAAUUCAUAUGAGGUUCAAGAGGUUUCAACAUCUUCUAUGUCACAUUCUUUUCAACAGAACGAUUCUCAAUUUGGAAUGUCAACAUGGAAAUUCAAGGAGAUUAUGCAAUAAAUGAGAGAACAUCAAGAGUAACAAUUCUCAAGGAUACAGAAUAUACAGAAUCAGUUAGAUCAAAUUGCAGCAUCCAUCAAUCAGUUAUAAGCACAAAACUCCAAUGAGGAGAUGGAAAGUAGAGAUUCUGUCAGGCUGACCCUACUCCCAUUUCUUCGUAAAAUUUUUCUAGUAUUAUUUGUGAAGAUGAUGUAGUUAUUCAUAUUUCUGAUUCUACUAAUGUUGUUGCUUUAGAUGAUUUGAAUGAUGCAGAUACAGAUGCAGAAGAUGAUUUAAGUGUAGGGGAAUGCUUACUGGAAGCAUUACCUCAAGAAUCAUCAAGAAUAGAGGAUGUAAGUGUAGGAACUUGUGCUAUGGAGACAAGAACCCAAGAAUCACUACAUGAAGUUGUACAACCACCUGAACCAGAGCUUGUGACAUUAUUUGAUGAAAAGGAGGUAACAAUCACCACUCUAGGUACCUUUCAGCUUGACAAGGUUAGUAUUUCUUGUGAUUUAUCAGAAAAUUUCAUAAAGGUACCACUCAUUGAUUUUAUUAGAUGUGAUUCAUU